UACAGAGGAGCCAAGCGUUGUCCGGAUUGACUGGGCGUAAAGGCGCACGCAGGCGGACGCGCGCGUGGGGUGUGAAAUCUGGACCGCUUAACGGCCAGGCGCCAUCCCAUACGGCGUGUCUGGAGUGAUGCAGAGGUCGGGUGGAAUUGCCGGUGAGUGGUGAAAUGACGUAGAGAUCGGCAGGAACAGCCCAGGGGGAAACCA
rnacentral:rRNA from 1 species